rfam:Myotis brandtii contig296655, whole genome shotgun sequence.
GCCAGUGUGGCUCAAUGGUUGAGCACCAACCUGUGAACCAGGAGGUCAAGGUUCAAUUCCCUGUUGGGGCA